AUUGAACGCUGGCGGCAUGCUUUACACAUGCAAGUCGAACGGUAACAGGCCUUCGGGUGCUGACGAGUGGCGAACGGGUGAGUAAUGCAUCGGAACGUACCCAGAGGUGGGGGAUAACGCAGCGAAAGCUGUGCUAAUACUGCAUGUGAUCUGAGGAUGAAAGCGGGGGACCGAGCAGCAAUGUUUGGCCUCGCGCCUUUGGAGCGGCCGAUGUCGGAUUAGCUAGUUGGUGGGGUAAAGGCCUACCAAGGCGACGAUCCGUAGCUGGUCUGAGAGGACGACCAGCCGCACUGGGACUGAGACACGGCCCAGACUCCUACGGGAGGCAGCAGUGGGGAAUUUUGGACAAUGGGCGCAAGCCUGAUCCAGCAAUGCCGCGUGCGGGAAGAAGGCCUUCGGGUUGUAAACCGCUUUUGGCAGGAACGAAACGGUGUCCGCUAAUACCGGGCGCUAAUGACGGUACCUGCAGAAUAAGCACCGGCUAACUACGUG
rnacentral:rRNA from 1 species